UACGUAGGGACCAAGCGUUGUUCGGAUUUACUGGGCGUAAAGGGCGCGUAGGCGGCGCGGUAAGUCACUUGUGAAAUCUCUGAGCUUAACUCAGAACGGCCAAGUGAUACUGCAGUGCUAGAAUGUGGAAGGGGCAAUCGGAAUUCUUGGUGUAGCGGUGAAAUGCGUAGAUAUCAAGAGGAACACCUGAGGUGAAGACGGGUUGCUGGGCCAACACUGACGCUGAGGCGCGAAAGCCAGGGGAGCAAACGGG
rnacentral:rRNA from 1 species